AAGCGUGGACGCCAGUCUGCGUGGAGCCGACCUUGAAAUACCACCCUUUAAUGUUUGAUGUUCUAACGUGGAUCCGUAAUCCGGGUUGCGGACAGUGUCUGGUGGGUAGUUUGACUGGGGCGGUCUCCUCCUAAAGAGUAACGGAGGAGCACGAAGGUUGGCUAAUCCUGGUCGGACAUCAGGAGGUUAGUGCAAUGGCAUAAGCCAGCUUGACUGCGAGCGUGACGGCGCGAGCAGGUGCGAAAGCAGGUCAUAGUGAUCCGGUGGUUCUGAAUGGAAGGGCCAUCGCUCAACGGAUAAAAGGUACUCCGGGGAUAACAGGCUGAUACCGCCCAAGAGUUCAUAUCGACGGCGGUGUUUGGCACCUCGAUGUCGGCUCAUCACAUCCUGGGGCUGAAGUAGGUCCCAAGGGUAUGGCUGUUCGCCAUUUAAAGUGGUACGCGAGCUGGGUUUAGAACGUCGUGAGACAGUUCGGUCCCUAUCUGCCGUGGGCGCUGGAGAACUGAGGGGGGCUGCUCCUAGUACGAGAGGACCGGAGUGGACGCAUCACUGGUGUUCGGGUUGUCAUGCCAAUGGCACUGCCCGGUAGCUAAAUGCGGAAGAGAUAAGUGCUGAAAGCAUCUAAGCACGAAACUUGCCCCGAGAUGAGUUCUCCCUGAGACUUAGAGUCUCC
rnacentral:rRNA from 1 species